ACCCUAAUCGGACCGGGGCGUCGGACUUAAAAUCCGUCAAGUGUCGGUUCGAGUCCGACUGGGGGCAC
rnacentral:tRNA from 1 species